GGGGGGGGGGGGGGGGGGGCGGGGGGGGGGCGGGGCGGGCGGGAGCCGGGCGGUGGGGGGGGGGGAGGGGGGCGAACGGGUGAGUAACACGUGAGUAGCCUGCCCCCUUCUUUGGGAUAACGUCGGGAAAUCGGCGCUAGUACUGGAUAUUCUUGCUGCAUCGCAUGGUGUGGUUUGGAAAGGGGUUCUGGUGGGGGAUGGGCUCGCGGCCUAUCAGCUUGUUGGUGGGGUGCUGGCCUACCAAGGCUUUGACGGGUAGCCGGCCUGAGAGGGUGUCCGGCCACACUGGGACUGAGACACGGCCCAGACUCCUACGGGAGGCAGCAGUGGGGAAUAUUUCACAAUGGGCGCAAGCCUGAUGCAGCGACGCCGCGUGAGGGAUGACGGCCUUCGGGUUGUAAACCUCUUUCAGUAUGGAACAAGGAUCCUUCUUUUGGGGGGUUUGAGGGUACGUGCAGAAGAAGCGCCGGCUAACUACGUG
rnacentral:rRNA from 1 species